rnacentral:lncRNA from 1 species
CGGAGGCGACGAAGAGAGUGGAGGUGGAGUUGUCGAAGAGGAUGAAGGCGAAACCGCCGGUGAGAUGGGCGACAACAUGGUCGGCAGGAUAUGGAGCUCGAUCACGAAGAGCUUUGUAAGCUUCAAUUACUAAGAGAACUUCAUUGGUGGAUUUGGGAAGGCCGUAUUGAUUCCUCAAACUUCCCAAAUUGUCAAGGGCUCCUUCGAAUAAACAAAAUAUCUCAUCCUUCGCUGCAAAUGAUCUACAAUGGUAAUAAUUACAAUUUUUAGUAUCAAAUAAUUAUAAUAAUUUCAUAGUUGCAUUACCAUCAUCAAAGGAAUAGACAAUUCCUAUAAUGAAUGAGACAGUACUAAAGUCUCCAUAGCUUUCUGUUCAAUGUACUAAAAAAAGUUAUCCUAAGAAAAGUUAUUUGUUACAUUUAAAAAAGCAAAAAUAAAUGUCUCCAUAUUUAUUCUAUCAUAUCAAAAGUUUUAAUUUCUUUUUUUUUAAAUCAUCAGAUAAGUAAUGACGAUGAUAAAAUAACAUAAGCCAUUUUCUUGAACUUCAAAGAGUUUCGAAAAUAAAUAUUUCAUAUUAAGGUAUCUUUUUAAAUAUCUAUAUUUUGGGAACAUAGCUACUUUAGCCAUUGCUAUCAAUACAUGUUUAAUACUUAACUUAGCCAAUUUCAAAGGGAUCUCUAUUAUAUAGGUGUAAUUCUCAUUCUAUAGAAAAAUGUAUAUAUUUAUAGUUUUGACGUGUCACGUACCAAUAGUCAUGUAUUGACCUGUCAUUUAAUCAAUUAUGUAUGCAAAAUUCAUUUAAGAAAAAAGAUACCUAAACUUCCAUAAAUACAUACAUUUAAACCACCUUCAAAUAUAUGCUUUUUAGAAAUUAAAUUGAUACAACUAUUUUUAAUUUUAUCAAAUCUAUUAUAAUAAAUGCUAGGAUUGUAACUGACACCUUUGUGUGUUCUCGUGCACAAGAGGUUCCAAUUCAAAUCCUAACUCCGACAAUUAUUACAAUACAUUUCGAAAAAUAAAUGUUGAGGUGAGCAUUUUCUUAAGUUAGCACGAGAAAAAUAAUUAGUGUGAACUUUAGAUUUAGUUUAAGGUUUUAAAUUAGUACAAAUUAGUUGUAUAAUGGAAAACUUAAUAUUUCCCAAAUUACAAAUAUAAAAUGAAUGUAAUUUCAGUUUCCAUGAACUACUGAAAAAUUAAAAACUGGAAUUGCCAUUUGUGUGUUGAAGAAAUUGAUAAAAUGACAAGAAGGCCCUUGCAAAUACCAUUAUAAUUAUAAAGAAUAAUAUUUAUUCUGUUUUUUUAAGUUGAGAUACGUGGCGUUUAAGUAAACUUAGGAUUUAUAUUUACUAGACACCUAUUUGUUGAUUUAUCUUCAUUCUUUUAGAAAUAUGUGAACUGGAAAAUCAAAUUAGAAAAAUGCUUCAGAUGCUACUCUAUCUCCUAAGUGUUCCUAAAUUGUUGAAUUGAAAUUUUUUGAAUUCACUACAAUUUUGUUGUUUUAAUUUACUUUAAAUGUAGUAAAAAAUAAAAUUGAUAUUUAGGGAAAGCAGAAAGGCGGAGUACGAGGGCGUAUUGAUGGGAGAAUCUCCCGUACCUGGGGCGCAAGGGAGAUUCAUUGUGGUGAGUGAAGGCAAGGUGGACAUGGUCGCCUAUCUGGAGAGAAACGGCGGCAGAGUUGGAAUCAGCGAACCGUUUUGCGAGUGCCGUUGACGAGAUCUUUGGCGACGGAGUCCGGCACCCGGCGGCUACCAGUUCGUCCGGCGGUGACAUGAUCGAACUGCUAA